rnacentral:rRNA from 1 species
AGCAGCCGCGGUAAUUCCAGCUCCAAUAGCGUAUAUUAAAGUUGUUGCAGUUAAAAAGCUCGUAGUUGAACUUCGGGGUUUACCCAUUGGUCAGGCUUAAUUGUCUGUACUGGUGAGAUAAAUCUCUACCUUCUGAGGAACUUUCAUGUCAUUAAUUUGGUGUGAUUGGAAAUCAGGACUGUUACUUUGAAAAAAUUAGAGUGUUUAAAGCAGGCUAACGUCUGAAUACAUUAGCAUGGAGUAAUGAAAUAGGACGGACUGAUUCUAUUUCGUUGGUUUCUAGGAUCACCGUAAUGAUUAAUAGGGAUAGUUGGGGGCAUUAGUAUUCAAUUGUCAGAGGUGAAAUUCUUGGAUUUAUUGAAGACUAACUACUGCGAAAGCAUUUGCCAAGGAUGUUUUCAUUAAUCAGGAACGAAAGUUAGGGGAUCGAAGACGAUCAGAUACCGUCGUAGUCUUAACCAUAAACUAUGCCGACUAGGGAUCGGACGAAGUUAAUUUUAUAAUUGACGCGUUCGGCACC